ACAAAACAAUUUUAAUUGUGGAAAAUUGUAAGGUUAAGUACAUUACCAACCAAAUACAGAACUGUUACAGACACAGCUUGUUCCAAUAGGCGAUUUAUUACAAAAAUAAUAUAAACAUAAUUGUGGAAGGAAAAUCAGCCGGGAGCAAAACAAAACGCCACAUAAAUCCCGCUGCCCAGAUAUGGCAACAAGGCCUCUUAUCCUAAAUUCAUACACGAUCCACAGGUGCAGGAAAUCAGUUCUACCAGAAAGACUCUGGAGUCAAGAGAACGUUUCAAUAAGAUUUAUUUAACAGUAUGCAAAUUUGUAACAUAAAGAUGAAAUGAUAAAUGAUGGGGGUAUGUGACAAGCAGGGCAGAGCAAGAGCUGUGAGGGAACGGCGCGAGGCCGGUGGCGUGAUUGUAAAGGAGCGUCACCUGCGCCUUUCUCACGGAGGAGCUCCGGAAGCAUAAAGGCAGGAGCGACGACAGUGAAGGACGAGAGAGGACCAGGCCUGGAUUUAUGUUAUGUUUUUAUUGUGUUAGUGUAUGGCAGUCAUCCGUGAGGGACGGCCGCCAUUUUACUUUUGUUUUGUAUUUGUAUAUUUUGUAUUAAAGUGUGUUUGCCGGAUCCCGCCUCCUUCUUCCCACAUAAAUGAACUGCGUUACACACACCUUCAUGGGUCUAGUGGAGUCCAUGCCUUGACGGGUCAGGGCUGUUUUGGCAGCAAAAAGGUGGACCAACUCAAUAUUAGGAAGGUGGUCAUAAUGUUAUGCCUGAUCAGAGUAGUUUCGUAUGUGUGUGAGUGUGUAUGAGUGUGUGUCCGGCAGCAGCGUCUCUAAUAGGGUAGCUUAACUGUUUAAAGAACAGUGACAUUACUACCUCAUUACUGAGAAACUGAGUAUGUACACGUGCCACCUGUUUUCAUCAGGUAGCUUCGAAUCUUCACGAAUCUUGUGUUUCGAAUCAGAGGUUCGGAGCGUGAAUCAAAAAGUCACAUGAACCACUGAAAUUUCAAAACACUUAUGACAUAACAAAGCCUCGUUUACUAAAAUCACAUGACUUUAACGCUCCAAACCUUUGAUUCAAAACACAAGAUUUGUGAAGAUUCAAAGCUUCAUGAAGCAGUGUUUUGAAAUCGCCCAUCACAAGAUAUUGUUGAAUAAAGUCGUUUUUUUUUUUUUUUUGGCGCACAAAAAGUAUUCUUGUCUCUUUAUAAUAUUAAGGUUGAACCACCGCAGUCACAUGAACUGAUUUAAAUAUGUCUUUAGUAGCUUUCUGGGCAUUGAAAGUGUAAAUUGUCUUGCUGGCAAUGCAGGCCUCACUGAGCCUUCGGAUUUUAUCAAAAAUAUCUUAAUUUGUGUUCCGAAGAUGAAUGAAGGUCCUGCGGGUGUGGAACGACAUGAGGGGGAGUAAUAUAUUUUUGGGUGAACUGACCCUUUAAUUUCACUUUCAAUGCCCAGAAAGGUAGUAAAUACAUUUAAAACAGUUCAUGUGACAACAGUGAUUCAACCUUAAUGUUAUGAAGCGACGAGAAUACUUUUUGUGUGCCAAAAAAAACAAAAUAACGACUUUAUUCAACAACUUCGUUCAUGAGAGCACCACGACGCAUGCGUGUGGUGAUGAGGCAGGAGCUGGCAUUCUGACAUAAGACCCGGAAACGCAGGACUGUAUUUACAGAGGAAGACGCACGCUCAACAUAAAACAUUCAUAACUAUGUCUGCAGAUUUCGACACAGAGGAUGACUUGCAUUGAUUUGCACAACCUUACUUGUUCGAAUAAAGAAUAUACAGAGAACGAACUAAAAGAGAUGGAAGAGGCUGCAACACAACCACAGCCACAAGCUUCUGAAAGACAGAGAGCAAUGGAGAGCUGGUGGUGUAGAUGUCAUCAGUGCCAAGCGAUGCCUACUGAACAGGAGUGUGUACUGCAUCGUGAUAUUGUCAUGCCACAGCUUGAAAGUUUGGAUAAUUCAUGUAAUGAAACGACACGUGUCUCGUAUCACCACACACGUGUCGUGGUGCUCUCAUGAACGCGCAUCGGAGACUGAUAUGGAAGAGGAAAUUGCUGAAUAAAGUCGUCAUUUUGUUUUUUGGCACACAGAAAGUAUUCUCAUCACUUCAUAAAUUUAAGGUUGAACCACUGUAGUCACAUGGACUGUUUUAAAUAUGUCUUUACUACCUUUCUGGGCAUUGAAAGUGUAAAUUAACUUGCUGUCAAUGCAGGCCUCACUGACCCAUCGGAUUUCAUCAACAAUAUCUUAAUCUGUGUUCUGAAGAUGAACGAAGGUCUUACAGAUGUGGAACGACAUGAGGCUUGUCUUCUUCCAUCUCAUCUUGUGUGUCACAAUGCUGUUCAGCAGAUGCCAUCGUCCUUCACUCACUCACUGAUGUUGGACACGAAGAAAAAGCUUUACAAUAAGUCCACUUUUACCAGGCACUUUCAAAAUAUAAAGCCUCCAGAUUCAGCUCCUGCUCCAGCCUCGUAUCAUCAUGUGUCCAUUAAUGACGAACCUCAACCCACAUCAGCCGGACACGUCAAUAAACACUAACGAACAUAACAUUUCUUAGAUUUGAUAGAUGAAGAUCACUGGACUAACA